rnacentral:rRNA from 1 species
AGUGAACGCUGGCGGUAGGCCUAACACAUGCAAGUCGAACGGCAGCACAGUAGGAGCUUGCUCUUACGGGUGGCGAGUGGCGGACGGGUGAGGAAUACAUCGGAAUCUACUUUUUCGUGGGGGAUAACGUAGGGAAACUUACGCUAAUACCGCAUACGACCUACGGGUGAAAGCAGGGGAUCUUCGGACCUUGCGCGAUUGAAUGAGCCGAUGUCGGAUUAGCUAGUUGGCGGGGUAAAGGCCCACCAAGGCGACGAUCCGUAGCUGGUCUGAGAGGAUGAGCAGGCACACUGGAACUUAGACACGGUCCAGACUCCUACGGGAGGCAGCAGUGGGGAAUAUUGGACAAUGGGCGCAAGCCUGAUCCAGCCAUACCGCGUGGGUGAAGAAGGCCUUCGGGUUGUAAAGCCCUUUUGUUGGGAAAGAAAAGCAGCAGGUUAAUACCCCGCUGUUCUGACGGUACCCAAAGAAUAAGCACCGGCUAACUUCGUG